rnacentral:rRNA from 1 species
GGGUCCCUACGGGGCGCAGCAGUCGAGAAUCAUUCACAAUGGGGGAAACCCUGAUGGUGCGACGCCGCGUGGGGGAAUGAAGGUCUUCGGAUUGUAAACCAUUGUCGUUAGGGAAGAAAAAAGACAGUACCUAAGGAGGAAGCUCCGGCUAACUACGUGCCAGCAGCCGCGGUAAUACGUAGGGAGCAAGCGUUAUCCGGAAUUAUUGGGUGUAAAGGGUGCGUAGACGGGAGUCUAAGUUAGUUGUGAAAUCCCUCGGCUCAACUGAGGAACUGCAACUAAAACUGGACAUCUUGAGUGCAGGA